GACGAACGCUGGCGGCGCGCCUAACACAUGCAAGUCGAACGAGCGAGAGAGAGCUUGCUUUCUCGAGCGAGUGGCGAACGGGUGAGUAACGCGUGAGGAACCUGCCUCAAAGAGGGGGACAACAGUUGGAAACGACUGCUAAUACCGCAUAAGCCCACGGCUCGGCAUCGAGCAGGGGGAAAAGGAGCAAUCCGCUUUGAGAUGGAGUCGCGUCCGAUUAGCUAGUUGGUGAGGUAACGGCCCACCAAGGCGACGACCGGUAGCCGGACUGAGAGGUUGAACGGCCACACUGGGACUGGGACACGGCCCAGACUCCUACGGGAGGCAGCAGUGGGGAAUAUUGCACAAUGGGGGAAACCCUGAUGCAGCGACGCCGCGUGGAGGAAGAAGGUCUUCGGAUUGUAAACUCCUGUUGUUGGGGAAGAUAAUGACGGUACCCAACAAGGAAGUGACGGCUAACUACGUG
rnacentral:rRNA from 1 species